CAGGUCUUGACAUCCUCUGACAAUCCUAGAGAUAGGACGUUCCCCUUCGGGGGACAGAGUGACAGGUGGUGCAUGGUUGUCGUCAGCUCGUGUCGUGAGAUGUUGGGUUAAGUCCCGCAACGAGCGCAACCCUUGUUCUUAGUUGCCAGCAUUUAGUUGGGCACUCUAAGGAGACUGCCGGUGACAAACCGGAGGAAGGUGGGGAUGACGUCAAAUCAUCAUGCCCCUUAUGACCUGGGCUACACACGUGCUACAAUGGAUGGUACAAAGGGCAGCGAAGCCGCAAGGCGGAGCGAAUCCUCCAAAGCCAUUCUCAGUUCGGAUUGCAGGCUGCAACUCGCCUGCAUGAAGCCGGAAUCGCUAGUAAUCGUGGAUCAGCAUGCCACGGUGAAUACGUUCCC
rnacentral:rRNA from 1 species